rnacentral:rRNA from 1 species
UAAGACAGAAGGUGCAAGCGUUACUCGGAAUUACUGGGCGUAAAGCGUCUGUAGGUGUCCUUCCACGUCUGGGUUAAAAUCGCAGGGCUCAACCCCGCGUCCGAUCUGGAAACGAGAAGGAUGGAGUCAUUCAGAGGCAUCUGGAAUGUCGUGUGUAGGGGUAAAAUCCGUAGAUACACGAUGGAACGCCAAAAGCGAAGGCAGGAUGCUAGGAAUGUACUGACACUCAGAGACGAAAGCGUGGGGAGCAAAGGGG